rnacentral:tRNA from 1 species
GCCUGGGUGGCUCAGUCGGUUGAGCACCUGACUUCGGCUCAGGUCAUGAUCUCGCAGUUCGUGAGUUCGAGCCCCGCGUCGGGCU